rnacentral:rRNA from 1 species
ACGAACGCUGGCGGCGUGCUUAACACAUGCCAGUCGCACGGAAAGGCCCUGCUUGCAGGGUACUCGAGUGGCGAACGGGUGAGUAACACGUGGGUGAUCUGCCCUGCACUUCGGGAUAAGCCUGGGAAACUGGGUCUAAUACCGGAUAGGAGCCAUUUUUAGUGUGAUGGUUGGAAAGUUUUUUCGGUGUAGGAUGAGCUCGCGGCCUAUCAGCUUGUUGGUGGGGUAAUGGCCUACCAAGGCGGCGACGGGUAGCCGGCCUGAGAGGGUGGACGGCCACAUUGGGACUGAGAUACGGCCCAGACUCCUACGGGAGGCAGCAGUGGGGAAUAUUGCACAAUGGGCGCAAGCCUGAUGCAGCGACGCCGCGUGGGGGAUGACGGCCUUCGGGUUGUAAACUCCUUUCGCUAGGGACGAAGCUUUUUGUGAUGGUACCUAGAUAAGAAGCACCGGCUAACUACGUG